rnacentral:rRNA from 1 species
GAGCACGUAGGUGGGUUUGUAAGUCAGAUGUGAAAGCCUUCUGUUCACGGAAGAAUUGCAUCUGAAACUGCAAGUCUCGAGUGUAGGAGGGGAGAAUGGAACUUCUGGUGGAGCGGUGAAAUGCGUAGAUAUCAGAAGGAACGCCGGCGGCGAAAGCGAUUCUCUGGCCUAUUACUGACACUCAGUGUGCGAAAGCUAGGGGAGCAAACGGGAUUAGAUACCCCGGUAGUCCUAGCCGUAAACGAUGGGCACUAAGUAGAGGGAAUUACCGAUGUUCUCUCUGCCGUAGCUAACGCAUUAAGUGCCCCGCCUGGGGAGUACGGCCGCAAGGCUAAAACUCAAAAGAAUUGACGGGGGCUCGCACAAGCGGUGGAGCAUGUGGCUUAAUUCGAUGCAACGCGAAAAACCUUACCGGGGCUUGACAUGGUAGAAGUAGGAACCCGAAAGGGUAACGAACGGUAUCCAGUCCGUAGCUAUCACAGGUGUUGCAUGGCUGUCGUCAGCUCGUGUCGUGAGACGUUGGGUUAAGUCCCCUAACGAGCGAAACCCUUGUUUUUAGUUACCAGCGGGUUAUGCCGGGUACUCUAGAAAGACUGCCGUCGUCAAGACGGAGGAAGGUGGGGAUGACGUCAAGUCAUCAUGGCCCUUAUGCCCCGGGCUGCACACGUGCUACAAUGGUCGGUACAAACGGAUGCGAAGCCGAGAGGUGAAGCGAAUCC